UUGGAGACUACAACGUUGAUAGGCGGGGUGUGGAAGCGUAGUAAUGCGUUGAGCUAACCCGUACUAAUUGCCCGUGAGGCUUAACCAU
rfam:Idiomarina woesei strain DSM 27808 genome assembly, contig: Ga0061064_102